rnacentral:rRNA from 1 species
CUGCUGCCUCCCGUAGGAGUCUGGGCCGUGUCUCAGUCCCAAUGUGGCCGGUCACCCUCUCAGGUCGGCUACUGAUCGUUGGCUUGGUGGGCCGUUACCCCGCCAACUACCUAAUCAGACGCGGGCCCAUCUUACACCACCGGAGUUUUUACCACAAAACCAUGCAGUUUCGUGGUCUUAUGCGGUAUUAGCAGUCAUUUCUAACUGUUAUCCCCCUGUGUAAGGCAGGUUGCCCACGCGUUACUCACCCGUCCGCCGCUCAGUCAA